UGGGGAAUAUUGCACAAUGGGCGCAAGCCUGAUGCAGCCAUGCCGCGUGUGUGAAGAAGGCCUUCGGGUUGUAAAGCACUUUCAGCGGGGAGGAAGGCGUUAAGGUUAAUAACCUUGGCGAUUGACGUUACCCGCAGAAGAAGCACCGGCUAACUCCGUGCCAGCAGCCGCGGUAAUACGGAGGGUGCAAGCGUUAAUCGGAAUUACUGGGCGUAAAGCGCACGCAGGCGGUCUGUCAAGUCGGAUGAGAAAUCCCCGGGCUCAACCUGGGAACUGCAUUCGAAACUGGCAGGCUAGAGUCUUGUAGAGGGGGGUAGAAUUCCAGGUGUAGCGGUGAAAUGCGUAGAGAUCUGGAGGAAUACCGGUGGCGAAGGCGGCCCCCUGGACAAAGACUGACGCUCAGGUGCGAAAGCGUGGGGAGCAAACAGG
rnacentral:rRNA from 1 species